rnacentral:lncRNA from 1 species
UCCCUCCCUCCCUCCCUCCCUGUAGAGUUCACAUUAGACUAUUGUUUUGUCACAUUCAGAGUAGCACUGAUUUCUACUCUUGUUUAAGCCACAGUGUUAUGUUCACUGUACAUGUUGUUAACCUGUUGACUUGGUUUCCCUCAUAACUGUAUGGUUAUUUAUGCCAUUCACUUUGCUGCAUUCCAGAGUAUUCCCAUUACCACCAGCUACCAUGGUAAAGGUCCACCAGUUUGGAAAUCGCAUAUUGAUAAAUAUUUUUUUCCCCUUGGAAAAUGUUUGUGGGAUUGUAGUUUUUCAAUAGAAUAGUCACCCCAUCUCCUCUCUCAGUGCACUCGCUGACAUGUUCUACGCCAGUCACACACCCAAACCCUGGGGUGAGUGGUGAACAGAUGGGUCUGAUCUGACACAUUAGUCAGAUUUGAGACAAACUCAAGCUUCACACACACACUUCAUAAAUACAUAUUUUUGAGGAGGGCCAGUCUGAUACGCCUCUCUGCAUAGUAAGUCAUCUACAUAUCAACCCUCUCUGCCCCUCUGUCCUCCACAAUUACAUUAUUCCACAGUUUAACCAAUCGGAUUGGUUGCACUCUGCAUUUCCACUGUUUGGUCUGAAAUGACAGCCUGUGUUCUCCGCUGGUGAAGGACAGAUUCCAGGCGCAGUGUCUGUCUGUCUGUCUGUCUGUCUGUCUGUCUGUCUGUCUGUCUGUCUGUCUGUCUGUCUGUCUGUCUGUCUGUCUGUCUGUCUGUCUGUCUGUCUGUCUGUCUGUCUGUCUGUCUGUCUGUCUGUCUGUCUGUCUGUCUGUCUGUCUGUGUGUCUGUGUGUUUUUGUGUGUGGGUCUGUGAAAGCAGAGAUAGCAUGAAAUGUUAUUAAAGUGAUUGGGUCUUUUCUACUCACAAUACGUCCAGGCGCCGUCUGUGUGUGUCUGUGUGUGUCUGUCUGUCUGUCUGUCUGUGUGUGUGUGUGUGUGUGUGUGUGUGUGUGUGUGUGUGUGUGUGUGUGUGUGUGUGUGUGUGUGUGUGUGUGUGUGUGUGUGUGUGUGUGUGUGUGUGUGUGUGUGUGUGUGUGUGUGUGUGUGUGUUUGGGUCUGUGGAAGCAGAGAUAGCAUGAAAUGUUAUUAAAGUGAUUGGUUCUUUUCUACUCACAAUAUAUCAGUGGUUAUUAGAGAGUGAGUGAUGGAGAAAGAGAGAUAGAGAGUGAUGGAGAGAAAGAGAGUGAUGGAGAGAGUGAUUGAUGGAGAGAGAGUGAUGGAGAGAGAGAGUGAUGGAGAAAGAGAGAGAGUGAUGGAGAGAGAUUGAUGGAGCGAGAGUGAAUGAUGGAGAGUGACAGAAAGAGAGAGUGAUGGAGAGAGAGAGAGAGAGAGUGACACAACAGUGGUAUGCCUGAUCACCGACAACAAUGAGACAGCCUAUAGGGAGGAGGUCUGUGACCUGACUGUGUGCUGCAAGGACAACAACCUCUCCCUCAACGUGAUCAAGACAAAGGAGGUGAUUGUGGACUACAGGAUAAGGAGGACCGAGCACGCCCCCAUUCUCAUCAACGGGGCUGUAGUGGAGCAGAUUGAGAGCUUCAAGUUCCUUGGCGUCCACAUCACAAACAAACUAACAUGGUCCAAGCACACCAAGACAGUCGUGAAGAGGGCACAACAAAACCUAUUCCCUGCGGUACAGCUCAGUACAUUGUUUUCACUGAGAAAAUGUACACGUCUGCUGUUAAUAUUAAUGCAGAGGAUCUGGUGCUUCCGUCCCCAACCAAGAAAGGCCUACAGCAGCACCUAGAUCUUCUGCACAGAUUCUGUCAGACCUGGGCCCUGACAGUAAAUCUCAGUAAGAAAAAAAUAUUGGUGUUCCAAAAAAGGUCCAGUUGCCAGG